AGAAUCAACGCUGGCGGCGUGCCUAACACAUGCAAGUCGAACGAGAAAGUGGAGCAAUCCACAAGUAAAGUGGCGCACGGGUGAGUAACACGUGACUAACCUACCCUUGAGUGGGGGAUAACCUAGGGAAACCUGGGCUAAUACCGCAUAAUACCUACGGGUCAAAGGAGCAAUUCGCUUAAGGAGGGGUCGCGGCCGAUUAGUUAGUUGGCGGGGUAAUGGCCCACCAAGACGAUGAUCGGUAUCC
rnacentral:rRNA from 1 species